ensembl:misc_RNA Metazoa_SRP Metazoan signal recognition particle RNA
GCCAGGCACAGUGGCCCAUGUCUGUGUUCCCAGCUACUCCAGAGAUUGAGGCAGAAGGCUCAUGUGAGCCCAGUUCUGGGCUGUAGUGCGCUGUGCGGAUUGGGUGCCUGUGCUAAGUUCAGCAUCAACAUGGUGACUUCCUGGGAGCAAUGGACCACCAGAUUGCCUAAGGAGGGGUGAACUAACCCAGGACAGAAAUUGAGCAGGUCAGAAUUCCUGCUGAUCAGUACUUGGAUAGUGCCUGUGUAUAGCCACUGCACUCAAGCCUGGACUACAUAGCAAGACCACGUCUCUA